rnacentral:RNase_P_RNA from 1 species
CAAGUAAGCUGGACAGCCGCGCGCGCAGGCCGAAAGGCCGUUGCGUGAGGAAAGUCCGGGCUCCACAGGGCAGGGAUAACGGGUAACACCCGCCGGGGGCGACCCCAGGAAAAGUGCAACAGAAAUAGACUACCCCGCCGGACUUGUACCGGCGGGGAAAAGGUGGAAAGGCGAGGUAAGAGCUCACCCAAUGGCGUGUCAAAGCGCCCAUUGCUGUAAACUCUAUCCGGAGCAACGCCGUGGGAACACAACAGGCCGGCCCGGCCGUGUUCAGGAGGCGGCUGGAGCGCGUUGGCAACAGCGCGCCUAGAUAGAUGGCUGUCUUAAAUGACAGAACCCGGCUUACAGGCUUACUUGCACC